rnacentral:rRNA from 1 species
GUGCCAGCAGCCGCGGUAAUACCGACAGCCCGAGUGAUGGCCGAUCUUAUUGGGCCUAAAGCGUCCGUAGCUGGCUGCGCAAGUCCGUCGGGAAAUCCACUCGCCCAACGAGUGGGCGUCCGACGGAAACUGCACAGCUUGGGACCGGAAGGCUCGAAGGGUAUGUUCGGGGUAGGAGUGAAAUCCCAUAAUCCUGGACGGACCACCGGUGGCGAAAGCGCCUCGAGAGGACGGACCCGACGGUGAGGAACGAAAGCCAGGGUCUCGAACCGGAUUAGAAACCCGUGUAGUCC